GGAGGGGUGUGGCUCAGUGGCAGCCAUUUGUUUGGCAUGUAGAAGAUCCCAGGUUCAAUCCCCGGCAUCUCCA
rnacentral:tRNA from 1 species